GUCACAUCCGGAUAGCUAGAGCAAUUGACUGCACGGUGUACGGAGAAAAGAAGAAGACUGAAUACUUGUGUUCAACGUCCAGCAUCAAGAUAGAAACAAGGUUUGCAGAGAUGAAGCCAGGCCCUGCCCUGCUUAGACCUCCUGACUGACAUCUGCUGCUCAAGUAUGACUUUGUGAACUAAAAGGAGUGGAAAACUGAGCACUUUCAGAGGCAUUUGGCUGCUGAUCAGAGCAGAUGUCUGUCACAGGUCUCGAGUUGAAAAGGCUUCACCAGCCUCAGUGAGAGAGUUUACCAGUAAUCAUGUGGAUCGAUGUCCAGGCUCCUCCUUGAAACCAGAGUACACUACAAACAUCAGGGUUUGAUGCUGAUUUCAUCUGGGAGUUGGAGGAUCGGCUCAUCUGCUGAGGGAAAUUAAAGUCAUAUUUGGACGUCAAACCUUGAGAUAGUUCUCAGUUUUGGCUGAUUUGCAAACUUGCGCAUUUGCAAAAAAAAGGUCUUCUGUUAUAGUAAAGAGGAAGAAUAUUUUUGUGUGUGUUCUGAGUUUUAAUGGCUAACAGUAAGAUUUGUCUUUAUGGUAAAACCAUUUGUACAAAGGAUUGACAAGAAUCUCUUGAAAUAAACAUCCUUAACACAAUUGCUGUGGUUGUAACUUGAUUUGCAGUCAGAAGAAAACAUAAGUAAACAUAAGUCCCUGUAUUAUGAUAGAACAAGAAAUAAAUUCAGGCUACAGCUGGUGUCAUAUUUAUCACAGACUGUGGUGAUCAUUGUGCUUUUGUGCAACAGGAUUUGCCUUGACUGUCGCCAACUGGCAAAGGACAGACUCAUUUAAAUUCCCUGGAGCUAAAAAAGGUUUAUAAAUCAAAAUGUGAUGCAAUUUCUUGUGCUGAUGAGAUAAACAGUUUAGAAUUUGUAGUUAAUGUUACAUGUGCAGUUGUCAAUCUGUAAAACAAAGCAGUUUCUGGAGAUGUAAGUGGUUUCAGCAGCAUUUUAUUUUGUGGAUACACGAACAUCCAAUCUGAUAAAGAUAAUUGGGUCUGCAGUUAAGAUCUUUGCUUAGAAAGCGAAAGUUUGAAGACGUAUAGUUAGAAAUUGUGCAAACGUGGUACCUAUUUGUGAAUUCUGCGGCAAAGAAUGUGUAAUAUUGGGCAACAUCCAUGUGAGGGCGAUAUUGCAUUACCUGAUGUAAACAGAAGAAACAUUUUGACCUACAGUUUUUCAUUCUCUAUUUAAUACCAAUAAAUAUUAAAAUAUAAUUUCAUCAAUGUUUUUACUGCAAUCCAACAGAUAUUUACCUCACACCUGAGCAUUAACAUUUCUGUGGAUUAAAGGGAAAUUGCAGUUCUUUUCACUUAAUUUAUAUAUUUUACUCAUGUAAACCAAGGGUGGAGACUGGCAUCUUAAACACAGAUUAAAUAAUUUUUAAGCAGCAAUGCUGUGGGUGCUGCAUGU